rfam:Otolemur garnettii contig039998, whole genome shotgun sequence.
GCCGGGCGUUGUGGCGGGCGCCUGUGGUCCCAGCUACUUGGGAGGCGGAGGCAGGAGACUCGCUUGAGCCCAGGAGUUGGAGGUUGCUGUGAGCUGUAAUGCCACGGCACUCUACCCAGGGGGACAGCUUGAGGCUCUGUCUCAAAAAAAAAAAAAAAAUGCAUUUAAUAGUUUGUUUGUUUUGAGACAGAGCCUCAAGCUGUCAUCCUGGGUAGAAUGCUAUGGCAUUACAGCUCAUAGCAAGCUCCAACUCCUGGGCUCAAGCGAUUCUCCUCCCUCU